AGUAGAAGAUGGAUGACCAAAACUGAGAGAGAAUUCUAGGACAGAAAAGAUGUAGAUGUUGGAUAACCAUCCUGGAACAGAACCGUAGGACAAGAAAGAUGUAGAUGAUGGGUGACCAAGCUGGGACAGAAUGCCAAGACAGGAAAGAUGUAGAAAUGAGUGGACCAGGAAGCAAAGAAUCAUUACACCAAGGUGUGCUCGGUUGUCUUGGACACUCCUAAUGUCCCCUGUGACAGGUCAGCCAGCAGCGACAAAGUCAUUAGUAUCGGGGUGGACACCCACCUUCCAGGCAACAAGAACAGCAGCUCAUCAUCGACGAUGUUUUCUUUUUCUAUUGUGGUGGGCAUCCGCAUACUAUAAGCACAGCCAAUACACUAGCAGCACCACGUGCCGACGUCACGGGCACAGAGAAGACAUCACCUAUUGGCUGGAGACGCUGUGGCUCUGCUGUUACCACAACAGAAACAUUACAUCAUUGUGAGGCUAACAUCAGUACAGUCAGAAAUGUUUACCUGGCAUUUAAAACUGAUUUUUGUUUACAAUAAACAAAUUAUUUGAGCAACAUGAGAA